rnacentral:tmRNA from 13 species
GACGGUACACUAGAAAACCAAGGUGCAUACCGAGGUGCGGUAGCCUUCGUUAAUAAACCGCAAAAGAUAGUCGCAACGACGAAACGCACGCUUUAGCAGCUUAAUAUGCUGCUAGGACUCCUUCUNNACUAGCUUGCUUAUGUCCUAGGGGAUUGAAAGGUCAUCUUUCAUAGAGACGCGUGGAAGCCCUGUCUGGGGUGGAAGCGUCAAAACUAAUCAGGCAAGUUAUGCAAUGGCGUGGCGGACCGGAGCUGGGUGGCGAAUGGAAAGAUUCGACUAAGCAUGUAGUACUGAGGAUGUAGUAUUUUCGGACGCGG